rnacentral:rRNA from 1 species
UACGUAGGGGGCUAGCGUUGUCCGGAUUUAUUGGGCGUAAAGAGCGUGUAGGCGGCUAGGUAGGUCCGUUGUGAAAACUCGAGGCUCAACCUCGAGACGCCGAUGGAAACCAUCUGGCUAGAGUCCGGAAGAGGAGAGUGGAAUUCCUGGUGUAGCGGUGAAAUGCGCAGAUAUCAGGAAGAACACCCGUGGCGAAGGCGGCUCUGUAGUACGGUACUGACGCUGAGACGCGAAAGCGUGGGGAGCGAACAGG